rnacentral:rRNA from 1 species
GACGAACGCUGGCGGCGUGCUUAACACAUGCAAGUCGAACGGAAAGGCCCUGCUUUUGUGGGGUGCUCGAGUGGCGAACGGGUGAGUAACACGUGAGUAACCUGCCCUUGACUUUGGGAUAACUUCAGGAAACUGGGGCUAAUACCGGAUAGGAGCUCCUGCUGCAUGGUGGGGGUUGGAAAGUUUCGGCGGUUGGGGAUGGACUCGCGGCUUAUCAGCUUGUUGGUGGGGUAGUGGCUUACCAAGGCUUUGACGGGUAGCCGGCCUGAGAGGGUGACCGGCCACAUGGGGACUGAGAUACGGCCCAGACUCGUACGGGGGGUACGGGUGGGGAAUGUAGCACAAUGGCGGAAGCCUGAUGCAGCAACGCCGCGUGCGGGAUGACGGCCUUCGGGUUGUAAACCGCUUUCGCCUGUGACGAAGCGUGAGUGACGGUAAUGGGUAAAGAAGCACCGGCUAACUACGUG